GACGAACGCUGGCGGCGUGCUUAACACAUGCAAGUCGAACGGAAAGGCCCUGCUUUUUUGGGGUGCUCGAGUGGCGAACGGGUGAGUAACACGUGAGUAACCUGCCCUUGACUUUGGGAUAACUUCAGGAAACUGGGGCUAAUACCGGAUAGGAGCUCCUGCUGCAUUGUGGGGGUUGGAAAGUUUCGGCGGUUGGGGAUGGACGCGCGGCUGAUCAGCUUGUUGGUGGGGGAGUGGCUUACCAAGGCUUUGACGGGUAGCCGGCCUGAGAGGGUGACCGGCUACAUUGGCACUGAGGUACGACCCGGACUCAUACGGGAGGCAGGAGUGGAGAAUAGUGCCCACUGGGCGGAGGCCUGAUGCAGCAACGUCGCGUGGGGGAUGACGGCUUUCGGGUUGUAAACCGCUUUCGCCUGUGACGCAGCGUGAGUGAGGGUAACGAGUAAAGAAGCACGGGCUAACUACGU
rnacentral:rRNA from 1 species